CCUACGGGAGGCAGCAGUGAGGAAUAUUGGACAAUGGGCGCAAGCCUGAUCCAGCCAUGCCGCGUGCAGGAAGACGGUCCUAUGGAUUGUAAACUGCUUUUAUACAGGAAGAAACACCUCUACGUGUAGAGACUUGACGGUACUGUAUGAAUAAGCAUCGGACUAACUCCGUGCCAGCAGCCGCGGUAAUACGGAGGAUGCAAGCGUUAUCCGGAAUCAGUUGGGUUUAAAGGGUCCGUAGGCGGUUUAAUAAGUCAGUGGUGAAAGCCCAUCGCUCAACGAUGGAACGGCCAUUGAUACUGUUAAACUUGAAUUAUUAGGAAGUAACUAGAAUAUGUAGUGUAGCGGUGAAAUGCUUAGAGAUUACAUGGAAUACCAAUUGCGAAGGCAGGUUACUACUAAUAUAUUGACGCUGAUGGACGAAAGCGUGGGGAGCGAAACAGGAUUAGGAUACCCUAGGUAGUCCACGCCGUAAACGAUGGAUACUAGCUGUUCGGAGNAUCUGUAGUGUGUAGAGAAGAGAUAAGUAUACCACCGCGGAGGUACGUUACGCGAAGAAGAGAAACGUAACGAAAGAAAGUAAGUUAAGGUACGGUACGUAGAGAGCGACGGACGGACGACGACGGAGGGAGGAGG
rnacentral:rRNA from 1 species